UACGUAGGGCGCAAGCGUUGUCCGGAAUUAUUGGGCGUAAAGAGCUCGUAGGCGGCUUGAUAAGUCGGAUGUGAAACCUCCAGGCUCAACCUGGAGUCGCCAUCCGAUACUGUCAUGGCUAGAGUCCGGUAGGGGCCCACGGAACUCCUGGUGUAGCGGUGAAAUGCGCAGAUAUCAGGAAGAACACCGGUGGCGAAGGCGGUGGGCUGGGCCGGCACUGACGCUGAGGAGCGAAAGCGUGGGGAGCGAACAGG
rnacentral:rRNA from 1 species